AUUGAACGCUGGCGGCAGGCCUAACACAUGCAAGUCGAACGGUAACAGGGAUCAGCUUGCUGAUUCGCUGACGAGUGGCGGACGGGUGAGUAAUGUCUGGGAAACUGCCUGAUGGAGGGGGAUAACUACUGGAAACGGUAGCUAAUACCGCAUAACGUCGCAAGACCAAAGAGGGGGACCUUCGGGCCUCUUGCCAUCGGAUGUGCCCAGAUGGGAUUAGCUAGUAGGUGGGGUAACGGCUCACCUAGGCGACGAUCCCUAGCUGGUCUGAGAGGAUGACCAGCCACACUGGAACUGAGACACGGUCCAGACUCCUACGGGAGGCAGCAGUGGGGAAUAUUGCACAAUGGGCGCAAGCCUGAUGCAGCCAUGCCGCGUGUAUGAAGAAGGCCUUCGGGUUGCAAAGUACUUUCAGCGGGGAGGAAGGGAGUAAAGUUAAUACCUUUGCUCAUUGGCGUUACCCGCAGAAGAAGCACCGGCUAACUCCGUG
rnacentral:rRNA from 1 species